rnacentral:lncRNA from 10 species
GGCAAAUUUGUUGUAUUUUAUUUAUUCAGUAACUUCCAUUAAUUAGCAGCCCAAAGUCUAGAUCAGCUGGGAUCUGGAAAAUGGUUUCUUUCUGGAAGGAAAUGACUGGAGCCCCACUUUAUCUGUAAAACAAAGGAUUGUGUACAUGGGGGAAAGAGGGGGCAAAGAAGAGACCAGAGGCAAUGAGCAAGCGGGGAGAGUGUGAGGGAGGGGGAAAGGGAGACAGAACGCACAACUGCAUUUGGAGAAUCAAGUAGAGACUUGAGGUAUCAGUUCUGAUAAUUUGAACACAAGUCUGGGUUUAGCCAAAUUAUCUGAUUACUGCACCACAAUGUCCAAACGAUUUGCUUACUUUGGUCUGAAGUCAGGGAAGCAGUGGCAUAGGGAAUUGACAGUUUUGUCUACAGUCAGAGUGACGCCCGUCUCCUUAGUGAUCUGAGAGGAGUGAAGGGGAGGCUUAAAACGAGUUUGGGAGAACACUGGUGCUUGAGGGCGGCCAGCUACCUCUUCUGCCCCAGGGCACUUUCUUUCCCCUUCUCUGUUUUCGGAUUUCUCUGACUUCGGCAUUCUUUUGCUCCGCAGGAACAUAGAGAACGGUGGGGGUAAAUAAGGGGAGCCUGAAGUUUCUGCUCUGUGCUUGCGUGUUCGAAUCCCAUCGCUGAGACUUUCUUCUGCUUUGGAUCGCUUGUCCCAGGCUGACGCCGCGCUGCGACCUCUCCCCUCGUAGGAGCCUAACGCCAACCCCUGCGCCAGGCAGGGAUGGAAUCAUCAUUCUCAUUGUAUAGAUGGACACUGAGGCUCGAGAACGGAAACGACUUCUUUUGAGUUGGGUGCCUCUCCCCCCUUGCCAGGCAGCCGCCUUUCUCUGUUGCCAUAGCACAAAUCACAAGGGUAUUUAUGGAACAAAAGCUCAGACCGCUGAGAUGUUCACUCUGCACUUUCAGCAGCACUCACAUUGAGAUAUGAGAAGACUGCAACAAGAACAAAAGGGUUGUGCCACCUCCUUUGGAUGUGAAGAGGAUGUGCUGACACGUGUGCUCGGGAGCCAGACUUUGUGGCCUUGGGGAAAGGACUGAAUAUUUCUGUGCUUCGUCGUUUGCAUCUGUGGAAUGCAGGUGAUACUGAGCUCUUCCUUGUGGGAUUAUUGCCUGGAAAUACACCAUUAUAGGUUCAUCGCCGCCAGGUUUACCGCGACACUCGGCGUUCUCGGGCCUCAGCGGAAUGGGUUUUAAACCGCGGAGGGAGGCCCAGGCGGAGAGGGUGUAGGCCCACUUUUCUCACUCGUGUCUAAGCAGGCCUUGUCCUGGCGGCAGCCAAGGUGAAGGCAGACGCUGUUUCCGGGAUCCAGUGGACCAGGCCAGGCCAGGGGAUUUGGGCGUGGGCCUCCGAGGCGGCAGUGGGUGGUCCAGGGGCAUUGUGAAGCCGUCAGGCACUGUGGAUGGGGAAGUGCAGGGCCCGCCUGCAGCACUGAAGUUUGGAAAGGCCAAAUACUGCUCCUAACCCGUGCGGCAAGGACUGCCCCAUUCAGUAAGCGGGGCAAAGUCCCGCCUUGACAAGCCUCUCUGUAGUUUCCCUGUGUGCUACACCUGGGCUGCUUCUGCUCGCUUCUUUGAAAAUGGAGAGGGGAGCAGAGGGAAGAACCUUGCAGGUUAUUCACAGGGAACUGACCCUAGGCAGUCAUGUCAGAUUGUUUGCAUGUACUUGUGCACGCGUUUUCAAAUGCAUAAAACCCUGUGCAUGUUUCAAAUGUGUAAACACGUAAGCAUUUUUAUUUGUAUUUCUAUUUCUUUUAUUUAUUUAUUUAUUUAUUUAUUUAUUUAUUUUCUUUUGAGACGGAGUUUCCCUCUUGUUGCCC